CCUAGCAUUAAAGGGGCAUCAGACUUGCCUUCAUUCCCAUGGGCAUCGGGUUGGAGGCCUUGAAUUACUAUAGCCAUCCGGCGGAGAAUGACCUAGUUAUGAUUAUGUCCCAAUUCCACAUUCCAAACUCAGUCACCCACCGGGCACCUGCCCUCAAUGAAUUUUCUUAUACUCCGAUCAGCAGCGAGGUCUGCUUGUAUAAAGAGUCUUUCAGAGGCAGGCUCUAUUUCCAUAUACACCCCCUUAUGACUGAGGUGUUAAUUACAAUGGCAUCAGUCCUUCUAGCUUCUCUUGAAGGGUUGGCGGAGCUUGUUGGGGUUCUACACCCUGGUCAGCGACAUCUUUUUCCCUCUUUCUAGUCUGUUGUCACUUGAACUCAGCAGUCAUCACGAUUGGUACGUGUUGAGCCAGCAUGUGAAUGUCAAGGUUGUGGAGGGGAACCCUUGAUGGAAGAACAUGCUCUUCUUCACGUCAGGUUUGAAGGUUUGUUGAUCGGCAAAAAUUGGUCUGAACCAGACAUCACUGUAGUGUUCGCCCCACGUUGACGGGCUCAGAUGAAGCAGACCCUUAAAGCAUUGCUACAUUUGGGCCGCAUCAUCAACACCACCAAGCUGGGUGAUGAGGAUUUUCUUGCUCGACAUGGGUUACCGCAGUAUCGCUCAGCCGUCACUCGAUCCAAGUGGCCUUUAAUUUCCAUGAGGCCCUGAAUCAAAGUCGAGUGGAGGUACAGAGGGAGAGAGAGGUCAAGGUUUCCAGUCACCCUCUUGAGAGGCAACAAAAAAGGAGAAGAGUGGUGUCUGUUGUUGAUCCAACCAUUCCUCGGGACAGGGGGUGGCACCAGUUGCAGAUCCGCCCGUUCCCCAAGACACAGGGAUGCUGAGAGAAGAGGUUGUAGUUCAUCCUGCAGCAUACGCAAUUCUGUUGGCCUCUUCGGUUAACACAUCAGGGUGGGCCGUCUGGGCUACUGAAGAUAGAGCGAUAGAGGAAACUCCUCAUACUAGGGACACCCCACCGAACGACAAUUCGCCUCUUGCAGAGGAUUUUCCUAAAUAUGUGGAUUCUUAGGAGCCACGGACUUUGCUUCCCGACGAGUCCUCUCGUUGCAUGGGGAUUCCCGAGCGGCCCAAGGGAUAUGGUCACAUCCCCUUAAAGUGCACACCCAUGGCAAAGGAGAUCAAGCAAGUGGAGGCUGCUGAGGCUAAGGGCGAUUGCAUGGCUAUUGACGAUGAGAACCGAUUAAGGAUCGUCUCACUUAACGAUUAUUCAAUUUUUCGUAAGAAGUUUAUGUUUGACUUUUGGACCCACACCUAUCACUACACAUGAAAACCGCUUCAUUAUGGAAGAGAUGGCGAUGUAGGAUCUUGGCAAAAGAGGGAGGGCAACAAUUUCUAGAGAGUUUUUAUUCAAGUUACUUUGGGGUGUAUC